CAGACAGAGCUCCUGGGUUAGGAGAUGGAUGGAGACACGCACUCCUUUUCACCCCAGAAGUGAGCUUUCCAGACACACCUGAAAGAUGGAUCAGGA